rnacentral:rRNA from 1 species
GGAGCUUGCUCCUUUGACGUUAGCGGCGGACGGGUGAGUAACACGUGGAUAACCUACCUAUAAGACUGGGAUAACUUCGGGAAACCGGAGCUAAUACCGGAUAAGAUUUUGAACCGCAUGGUUCAAUAGUGAAAGACGGCCUUGCUGUCACUUAUAGAUGGAUCCGCGCCGUAUUAGCUAGUUGGUAAGGUAACGGCUUACCAAGGCAACGAUACGUAGCCGACCUGAGAGGGUGAUCGGCCACACUGGAACUGAGACACGGUCCAGACUCCUACGGGAGGCAGCAGUAGGGAAUCUUCCGCAAUGGGCGAAAGCCUGACGGAGCAACGCCGCGUGAGUGAUGAAGGUCUUCGGAUCGUAAAACUCUGUUAUCAGGGAAGAACAAACGUGUAAGUAACUGUGCACGUCUUGACGGUACCUGAUCAGAAAGCCACGGCUAACUACGUGCCAGCAGCCGCGGUAAUACGUAGGUGGCAAGCGUUAUCCGGAAUUAUUGGGCGUAAAGCGCGCGUAGGCGGUUUUUUAAGUCUGAUGUGAAAGCCCACGGCUCAACCGUGGAGGGUCAUUGGAAACUGGAAAACUUGAGUGCAGAAGAGGAAAGUGGAAUUCCAUGUGUAGCGGUGAAAUGCGCAGAGAUAUGGAGGAACACCAGUGGCGAAGGCGACUUUCUGGUCUGUAACUGACGCUGAUGCGCGAAAGCGUGGGGAUCAAACAGGAUUAGAUACCCUGGUAGUC